UACGGAGGGUGCAAGCGUUAUCCGGAUUCACUGGGUUAAAGGGUGCGUAGGCGGUCGCGCAAGUCGGAUGUGAAAUCUCCAGGGCUCAACCCGUGAAACUGCAUUCGAUACUGCGUGGCUAGGGUGACUGGAGAGGAGACUGGAAUUUACGGUAGUAGCAGUGAAAUGCGUAGAUAUCGUAAGGAAGACCAGUGGCGAAGGCGAGUCUCUGGACAGUUACCGACGCUGAGGCACGAAGGCCAGGGGAGGCAAACGGG
rnacentral:rRNA from 1 species